rnacentral:tRNA from 1 species
GCGUCCUUAGCUCAGUUGAAUAGAGCAAUUGCCUUCGAAGCAAUCGGUCGCUGGUUUGAGUCCAGCAGGGCGCACCA